ensembl:lncRNA
GGAGUGAAAACUUCAACAGAAGUAGUCCAAGUGUUGCGAGUUAAAAAUAAAACGAUAUCACAAGGGGCAAUGUGACCAGGCUCAGCUUACGACUUUUUCCUUCCCCUGUAUUUAUCAACACUCAGUCUCUCCUGGAGUGGCAUUUAGCAGGGGAAACUAAAUGGGAAGUGAAGUUUUAUAUCAAUAGGUUUUCCUUCCCUAGAGGAAGACAGAAAAUCCUUUUAAGAAGGAUCAUUUUCAAGAGCAGCCUCUCAGAUUCCUACAUGUGCAAUCGGCCGGCCCAGCUGUGCUGGAGGAGGCUGGCAGAGAAUUCAGGACUGGCUGCGGCUCUAAUUAUAACCAUGCUCCUCACCUAAACCCACCACUGGCUGAAGCAGCAACUUGUGUAAGUGACAUGCUAUCCUGCUUCAGUUUCUCCUAUCUCUUGUCAUGACAAGAAAGAAGGUGAAAAGAAGAGAUUCUCAGAACUAUGAGAAUCUGUGGCUGGUAGUCCUGUUCUAUGGAGUGUUCAAGAAAGUUCUUCCUAAGAGGGAAAAUUGGAACUUCAAGAAUAAAGGAAAAACCACACAUAUGGUAAAUAUCUGGUUACAUAUAAUAGGUCUUAAAUUUGUAAAAGUUAUUUGGAAUGUAUAUGAAUAUUGAAAGCAAAAAUUACCAUAUUAUUUAUUGGUUUUGUUUUGUUUACUUUUAAUUUUGAACUAAUUUCAGAUUCACAAGAGCAAAAUAAUAUAUAUGGUGAAGGUGCUGCACACACUUCAGCUAGCCUCCCUCAGUGGUGACAUCUUGCAUGUUAUUUUACUUUUUCACUCUUAUUCUAUAACAAAUGUAUAGGGGAAUAAAUUUAGAAGAGCUUCUUAAUUCAUAAACCAAUAUUUUGCAAAUGACCAGUAUGUAAUGUUACAAAAUCAUGUGUGAGUAAAAGAUCCACUCAAAGUCCAAUGUAGGCCAAUGGAUUUUAAUGUGACAGAGUUUGAAAAGUUCAUUCAUAUGAUUUCAAAUUUCACAUUGCAGGCUGGGCAUGGUGGUUCAUGCCUGUAAUCCUAGCACUUUGGAAAGCCGAGGAGGGUGAAUUACUUGAGGUCAGGAGUUUGAGACCAGCCUGACCAACAUGGUAAAACCCCGUCUCUACUAAGAAUAUGAAAAUUAGCUGGGCGUGGUGGCAAGUACCUGUAGUCCCAGCUACUAGGGAGGCUGAGGCAGAAGAAUCGCUUGAACCUGGGAGGCAGAGGUUGCAGUGAUCUGAGAUCAUGCCACUGCACUCCAGCCUGGGCGACAGAGUGAGACUCUGCCUCAAAAAAAGAAAACAAAUUUCACAUUGCAACUCAUCUUUAAGAAACUGCUACUUGUUGAGUUCGUGUUGUAGUUUCAAAGAAUAUCCACAAUUAUUUCAAAGGCUAUAAGAAUACUCCUUUUCCUAGCAUCAUAUCUGUAUAAGGUCAGAUUUUCUUCUUACACUUCAAAGUAAUGCAUCAGAAAAGGGACUGCAAAGCAGAAGAGAAUUCUGUCAUCUUCCAUUAAGCCCUAAAGUACUAAAAUAUAAAACAAUGCCAUUGGUCUCACAAUUUGUAUGUGUGUGGAAAAUAUAGUUAACAUGCAAUGCAUUUAUCAUUUUAUUUUGAAAGGAAUGAAUAAAUAUAUUUUAAUCUUUCAGUUUUCACUUUGAAUAUGGUAAAUAUCUAGGUAUAUCCUAUAGAAACAAAAGUUCUUUGGAGCCCUCAACAAUUUUUAAGAAUAUAAAGAGGUUCUGAGACCAAAAAGUUUGAACAGCAAUAACAAGGGAUGGCCUAAGGCUUGGCAUUUAAUUGAAAAGAAAUUAAACUUAACUAAGCAUCUGUUCUUCAGUACAAUCCUAAGAGUGAAGAAAUGAUGCAGUAACAUUCAGUAGCAGCAUUAGGAUACUGUCAGACAUUCAAGUGCUUCACAUACAUGAUUCAUGUGAUCCUCGGCAAACACACGGGAUAAUGGACAAUUAUUAUCAACCUCUUAAAGAUGAAGAGACAUGAGAUCUAAAAGUUUGGCCAGGUAGAGGAGAAGCAUAGCUGGGAAUGAAUCAGGUCUUACUGACUCUUAUACACACAGUCUAUAAACCCUGGCCCUCUUUCCUGGCAUGGGCAUUGAGAGUCUGCAGCUUAAACUAGCAUAUUAAAGAAACAAAGAAGCAAAUGAUUCAACUGGUCUACAGUGCUUUCCCUCAUCAAGGCUAUGGAGAUCAUAAGGCAGAAUUGCCACUAGCAGAACCACAUUUACUCAGCAAAUUUUUAUUGCCUACCACCUACAAAUGGGCACUUACAUAAGUCUGUGGAUUCUGCAAUGAAUGAAGUACACAAAAAUAGUUGCUAUGAUGGAGUUUACAUUCUAAUUAAGGAUUUCCAAAGGUCUGGCUAACACAGGUGGGGAAAGCUUGGGAGCCCUGCAGAACAGACAACCACACUCAGUAAGUAAGGAGUCUCACAUUCACUCCCUGAUUUUCAUGAGGUGAACAGUCAGCCUUUCUGAGGUUUCUUCUGUCCCCUACUUGCAACCCUCUAUAUCAUGUCCCUCUAAUGUGAAUGGGCUGAGUGGUUUGCACCCUUUAAUAUUGCUCCUUUGAUUUUUCAAAUCCUCUUUGAGCACUUAAAGCCCCACAUUCUGGCUACCCUCCGCACCUCCCCAUGCUUACCUGUCAUGAAUCCCUUAGACUAACUAUUUUCAGUCCUGCAUGGUGUGUCUCUCUCUGCAAAUGCAGUUUCCUUAGUGUGUCCUCAUGCAGAAGACCCUGUAUUUAAACGCAGUUUUUAUACAAUCAGACCUCCUCCUGCCCCUGCACCACCCAGACACACCCUGAUGUCCCACCCUUCAUUCAUUCAUUUGUUCAUUCAAUAAAAGUAUGCUUAGAGCAUAGUGUAACUAUUGCUGAAAAUAGUCAUUAUUCUUUUUUUAUACUCAAACUUCCUACCUUUGACUACCCUUCAAGGCGGCUCCUGUGCUUUCUGAUGCAACCACAUUUUUACUUUUAUGCUUGCGUUGUUCAAAGUUUUAGGUGUAAAAUUCCUCUAGGUGUGGUAACACUCGCCUGUGGUCUGAGGUACUUGGGAGGCUGAGGUGGAAGGAUCACUUCGGCCUGGGAGGUUGAGGCUGCAGUGAGCCCUAAUUGCACCAAUCUACUCCAGUCUGGGCAACAGAGCAAGAGAGCAAGACCCUACCUCAAAAAAAUGAAAAUAAAGUUUUAGAAGUGUAUCUUUAAAAUAGUGAUCCAAUCUGAGAAUUUUCAUAUGGAAUAAUCCAUUUAUAUUUGAUAGGAUAAGAACACAGUAAUCCCACCUUAUCCACAGUUUUGCUUUUUGUGGUUUUAGUCAACUGUCAUCCAAAAAUAUUAAAUGGAAACUUCCAUAAAUAAAAAAUGUGUAAGUUUUCUUUUCUUUUCUUUUCUUUUUUUUUUUUUUUUUUUUUUUGAGAUAGAGUUUCACUCUUGUUGCCCAGGCUGGAAUGCAAUGGCAUGAUAUCAGCUCACUGCAAUAUCCACCUCCUGGAUUCAAGUGGUUCUCCUGCCUCAGCCUCCCAAGGAGGUAGGAUUGGAGGCGUGUGCAACCACACCAGCUAAUUUUGUGUUUUUUCAGUAGAGACGGGGUUUCACCAUAUUGAUCAGGCUGUCUUGAACUUCUGACCUCAAGUGAUCCACCCGCCUUGGCCUCCCAGAGUGCCGGGAUUACAGGAGUGAGCCACCACGCCCAGCCCUUUUUUUUUUUUUUUUUUUUUUUGAGACGGGAGUCUUGCUCUGUCACCCAGGCUGGAGUGCUGUGGCCGGAUCUCAGCUCACUGCAAGCUCCGCCUCCCGGGUUCCCGCCAUUCUCCUGCCUCAGCCUCCGGAGUAGCUGGGACUACAGGCGCCCGCCACCUCGCCCGGCUAGUUUUUUUGUAUUUUUUAGUAGAGACGGGGUUUCACCGUGUUCGCCAGGAUGGUCUCAAUCUCCUGACCUCGUGAUCCGCCCGUCUCGGCCUCCCAAAGUGCUGGGAUUACAGGCUUGAGCCACCGCGCCCGGCCCCCAGCCCUUUUUUUUUUUAAUGCUCAAAUUUUAAAUUGGCUGUACUGCUCCUCCCAGGAUGUGAAUCAUUCCUUCGUCCAGUGUAUCCAUGCUGUAUAAGCUACCUGGCCUACACGAUGUGGUUGUAUAGGAAGAAACUGAGGAUCCUGGAAUGUAUCCGCAUGGAUAAUGGGGGGAUCACUACUUAUUUCUACCUAAUUUCUUACAAUCUUUGUGUGUUUUUAACUUUUCCAGCCUUCUGUUAGAAUGGUUGCAUUUUAUUUUCUCCCCCUCUCAAAUGGUAUGUAAGUUAUAUGCAAGAUUUAAAGUUACAUUAUUUUUAUUUAUAAUUUGUUUAGAGAUGGUGUUCACUCUGUCACCCAAGCUGGACUGCAGUGGUGCCAUCAUGACUCUGCAGCCUUGACCUCCUGGGCUAGAAUGAUUUUCUCACUGCAGCCUCCCCAGUAGCUGGGACUACAGGUAAGGACCACCACCUCAGUUAAUUUUUUAAAACUAUUUUUGUAGAGACGGGGUGUUGCUAGGUUGCCCAGGCUGGUCUAGAACUCCUGGGCCCAAGUGAUCCUCCUGCCUUGGCUCCCCAAAAUGCUGGGAUUACAGGCAUGAAUCACUAUGUCCAGCCUAAAUUUGCUUUUAUGUUCCUAAAAGCGGUCGUUAUUAUUUUUGUCAUAAAUAUUUAUUUAGAUUUAACCACAUGUUUAUCAAGUGCUUU